AGAGAGAAAGAGAGAGAAACAUCACGCUCGUUUCGUAGUUUACUUGAGCUCAGAAAAGGCCUGGAUGCUGAGAGAGUGGGGGGAGAGAGAGAGAGAGAGAGAAUAGGUUGGAAAUUCUAAGGUGAGGAGGGAAAUCUGGAUGAGGGGGCUGGAUAUAGAUCUACUAAAGUGGACUGACUACAGGUCUGGAAACAGGUCUACUAAAGUGGACUGACUACAGGUCUGGAUACAGAUCUACUAAAGUGGACUGACUACAGGUCUGGAAAUAGGUCUACUAAAGUGGACUGACUACAGGUCUGGAAACAGAUCUACUAAAGUGGACUGACUACAGGUCUGGAUACAGAUCUACUAAAGUGGACUGACUACAGGUCUGGAAACAGAUCAACUAAAGUGGACUGACUACAGGUCUGGAUACAGAUCUACUAAAGUGGACUGACUACAGGUCUGGAAACAGAUCAACUAAAGUGGACUGACUACAGGUCUGGAAACAGGUAUACUAAAGUGGACUGACUACAGGUCUGGAAACAGAUCAACUAAAGUGGACUGACUACAGGUCUGGAAACAGGUAUACUAAAGUGGACUGACUACAGGUCUGGAAACAGUUGGACUGACUACAGGUCUGGAUACAGAUCUACUAAAGUGGACUGACUACAGGUCUGGAAACAGUUGGACUGACUACAGGUCUGGAUACAGAUCUCCUAAAGUGGACUGACUACAGGUCUGGAAACAGAUCAACUAAAGUGGACUGACUACAGGUCUGGAAACAGAUCAACUAAAGUGGACUGACUACAGGUCUGGAAACAGAUCAACUAAAGUGGACUGACUACAGGUCUGGAAACAGGUAUACUAAAGUGGACUGACUAAGUAAAGGAACCCCCUAAAAAAACAAAUAAUGUCCAUCAGACAUUCAACUAUGCUUUGUGGAAAGUAAAUAUUUUUCAGGAGGAACUGACUUCACCUAUUUGAAUACAGAUUCCCAAAACGGUUUUUUCAUUAUUUUUUUAACGGAUCUCAGAAAGUACCGUAACUACUUUUGUAAAUGAUUGGAAUUCACAUCUGAGAAAGCAACUAAAUGUAAAACAAAUUGAAUACAGAUCUCAGGAAGUGACGACUUUUCCAAAAUGAUUGGAUUGGCUGCCUUCAACUAAUGACAAGGCUGUAUCUGGAACUGCAUGUUGAAGAUAUAAUGAAGAGAGUACACCAUUUACUAUACUAUUCCAAUCUGAGAGUCAUGUUUGAUCUAGACAAUACAUUUCUAUCUGAACAUUCUGUAAAUGUCCAUUGCCCCAGGUGUAUAUAAUCAAGUCAAACCAAUGAUAUAUUGUACAGAUAAGUACAGUAUAUAGCUCAACUACUAUACAAGUCUUUAAACAUGCCACUGAAAAGGUCGAAAGAUGAAAUACAUUUUUAUAAUACCUGAAAACACUGCAGAGUAAUUCAAAAGCCAUUUGCAAACAGCACGUUGAAUGCUGAGCAGAAACAACGUUGAAGCUUUUUGUCCAUCGGAGGGUGAAUGUUCUUGUUUUAAACACACAUUAUACUAUCUUUAAAGGGAUCGUUUAAGUAGAAUACAAACUAACAUGAUGUUCAACCUACCUUGGCUGUAGUUGAUUCAAGAAGGGUGUUUUGGGAUGUUUAGUUUCCUUUCAAAACUUAAUAGCCAUAUUUUGUUACUGAUAGCAUUCUCAGUAACACUUAACAUGACAUUGUUCUUGUGCCUCUGUGUAAUCAAGCUACAAUUACUUUGAGCAACAUUUUAUUAGCAUGUUGUUAAAUAAUACUUUGGUAAUUGCAUUUUAAUUACAUAGCAAUGAGCUGAGAGUUUAACUACUGUACACAAGAGGAAUAGUGACCGUUCCUUAUUCCACUUAUGUUAUAACACAAUUAUUAUGCAAUUCUAAAGUUGAAUUCUUGUUUAGAGCCCAUUUGGUUGUGCUGUCCAGUAAAACAUGUUCACAACUCAAAUCUGUUCAGUGUGCUGUUAUUACACUUGCUUUGGGAUACUAGUUGUAUCUGCCAAAACAAGUGCAUUGAUCUAGACACUCAAUGUGUGCAUUGUGUUCUGGUUUCAUUUGCAAUAGUUUACCAGACCGUGCCAGGUGUGUGGGUGUACACAGACCCCUAUGAGAUUGUGGAGAGCCCGGUGUUAACCCUUUUCAACUGAAUCCACAUGUUGGACAACUGGGAUUGAACUGGGAGUUGAUGCGAAGCAACAAGCAGAGUUAAACUACGGGACCAGCCC